rnacentral:rRNA from 1 species
CGGACGGGUGAGUAACGCGUGGGCAACCUGCCCUGUACCGGGGGAUAACACUUAGAAAUAGGUGCUAAUACCGCAUAAGCGCACAGCCCCGCAUGGGGGAGUGUGAAAAACUCCGGUGGUGUAAGAUGGAUCCGCGUCUGAUUAGCUAGUUGGCAGGGUAACGGCCUACCAAGGCAGCGAUCAGUAGCCGGCCUGAGAGGGUGGACGGCCACAUUGGGACUGAGACACGGCCCAGACUCCUACGGGAGGCAGCAG